AUAUAUUUCAUCAUUUUUAAAAAUCACUUUUAUGGGAAUUUUUAGUCAGUAAUUAUGUUUAGUCCUCUGUAUCACUUAGUCUUGCCAAACUUUAUCUACCAACUUUGUCAUUUUUAUGAUUUAACUGCAUUUUUAUUAUUUUAUUUUCUAUCUGUAAUUAAAUUAUAUCAAAUUUGAACUAGAAAACAGAUAGCAUAUUGCCAUUUUUUUACCUGCAUUUAACAGUUUCUUUUUUACCUGUAAAAGGCUUCUAGUUGGCAUAUUCAAACUGCACUCUGAUAGAGGCAUGAAAUUUUAAUACAUCUGGUUUAUCCCAGGUAAUUUAACUUAAUUGUGAUGUAUAUUUUUACUUAUGAGAAAUAAAAUUAAGGAUGGUACUAAACAUCUCAGAUUUGAAAAAAUAGAAAGGGGCAUUAAACCAUUUAAAGUUAAUGAGACAUAGAUAAACAAUCCAAUUAUAUCUGUUAAAUCAUCCAUGUAAUGGUAUUUUUGCAAGUUGAUUUUUCCCAAAUUAAUUUUAACAAAUUUUCUCUUUGGAAAAUGUUAUUUUCAGGAGUUGGCUUUUAGCAAAUUCUUUUAAAGGAAUCAUUUUGCUUACAAUUUUUACCCACUCUAUAGAAGUAAAAACUGAGUUGCAAAGAGUUUUGGUAGCUUGUCCAAGGUAACCCAAGAAGUAAAGGGCAAAUCAGAUUUUCUUAUCUGUUUGAUUAACAUCUGUGUCCUUAAUCACUACUCUAUGUUGCUUCUCAUAUUAUUAAAAUUCUGAUUUUUAAAAAUUAAUUCAUCUCAGUUUUCACUUUAUUGUUUAGAAUUCGUGGAUUUAAAUGGCAUCAUGAAGUUAAAGAAUGUGCUGCUUCCUAGUGAGGAAUUAUUCAAAGACAACCUGAAUAUAUUCAUUAGAUGAGGAAACUGAAACACACAGAGGUUAAGAAGCUUCUUCAAGAUUGUUAAAAAGUCUUCAGGGUUUAUAUUUUAUACAACACUAUUCGACAAGAAAACCAACGCUCCCAACCACUAAUCUAUGGUGCAAAUUGGAGAGAAAAAAAAAAAGGUUAAUGAGACUUCACCAUAUAAUUGUGACAAAGAAUGAACAAAAUGGAAAUGGUUCCUUCUUUUUAAAAUAGGCCCUUUGAGCUGGAAGACUAGAAUUUAUCUCUCCCUCAUAAGCUCUCUCUCUGUCAUUCUCUCUGUCUCUGUCAUUCUCUCUCUCUCUCUCCAUGAAGCAUCUUCAUAUAUCUAUCUUGUGUUACUUUAUAUAGUGUCUGGAUAUUAAGUAUGAGAAUUUUAAAAGAACACAGCAUGUCCCAAUAUGUGUGUUUUUAUUUGGUGUGUUUGGAUCAUACUUAUAUCUCAUGGCAAGUCCAGAAUCAAUGUGGAAGGGGACUAUGCAAAGUGGUGAACACCAACAGGCAUGGUCUCCAAAAAGAGUUCAGUUCAGGCGCUUUAAAAAGAAAACAACAUCUGAAGUUCUUGGAAGAUCUUUACACUGACAUGAAAUCGUCCAUAAAACUAAUAAACAGUAGAAAUUAAUCUUUUCAAUAUUUAAGCAAAACAUUCAUUCAAGAUGAAAUCCCAUAUUUCAGUUGUUUGUCAUUGUUCUUUAUCUGGGUGUAGCGAUCUCCAUACAUUUAAAUCUUUAUCCCCUCUACAUUUUUAAUGUAAGGUUUAGUAUAAUGUUUUCUUAUUUUAGAUAAUGUAAAUUUUAAAUAUGUGGCAAACGAUUUUCAUAUUAUAAAUAAUAAUGAUGCAGCAAGC
rnacentral:lncRNA from 10 species